rnacentral:rRNA from 1 species
UAAUACCCUAUAGGUUACAGAUGCUGGAAUGCUCUGUAAUCAAAAGUUCCGGCGCCCUAGGAUGGAUCUGCGGCCGAUUAGGUUGUUGUUGGGGUAAUGGCCCAACAAGCCAGUAAUCGGUACGGGUUGUGGGAGCAAGAGCCCGGAGUUGGAUUCUGAGACACGAAUCCAGGCCCUACGGGGCGCAGCAGGCGCGAAAACUUUACAAUGCGGGCAACCGUGAUAAGGGAACCUCGAGUGCCUGUAAAUGCAGGCUGUUCAGAUGCCUAAAACACAUCUGGAGAAAGGGCCGGGCAAGACCGGUGCCAGCCGCCGCGGUAAUACCGGCGGCUCGAGUGGUGGCCACUUUUAUUGGGCUUAAAGCGUUCGUAGCUGGGUUGUUAAGUCUCCUGGGAAAUCUGGCGGCUUAACCGUCAGGCGUCUAAGGGAUACUGGCAAUCUUGGAACCGGGAGAGGUGAGGGGUACUUCGGGGGUAGGAGUGAAAUCCUGUAAUCCUCGAGGGACCACCUGUGGCGAAGGCGCCUCACCAGAACGGCUUCGACAGUGAGGGACGAAAGCUGGGGGAGCAAACCGGAUUAGAUACCCGGGUAGUCCCAGCCGUAAACUAUGCGCGUUAGGUGUAU